rnacentral:rRNA from 1 species
UACGUAGGGCGCAAGCGUUAUCCGGAAUUAUUGGGCGUAAAGAGCUCGUAGGCGGUUUGUCGCGUCUGCCGUGAAAGUCCGGGGCUCAACUCCGGAUCUGCGGUGGGUACGGGCAGACUAGAGUGAUGUAGGGGAGACUGGAAUUCCCGGUGUAGUGGUGAAAUGCGCAGAUAUCAGGAAGAACACCCGUGGCUAAGGCGGCUCUCUAGUACGGUACUGACGCUGAGACGCGAAAGCGUGGGGAGCGAACAGG